rnacentral:misc_RNA from 1 species
AAGUCGUAACAAGGUUUCCGUAGGUGAACCUGCGGAAGGAUCAUUGCUGAUGCCGGCGGCACGUGGUCGAUCCCUCGCGAGGGGGUGAGGCCGCUGCCGCUUUCAACAUCAUCUGCCCCUUUGUGAACCCGGCACUGGAGCGCCGUCGUGGCGAGCGAGCUUUGGGGCCCGCUCGUCCUGGUCUCCUCUGCCCAAACAACCUGUCUUUUAUUGCCUGUCUCCCCAGACUGAAGCAACAAAAACAAAAACAUAUCUUACAACUUUUAACAAUGGAUAUCUUGGCUCGC